ACGAGGGGUGCGAGCGUUGCUCGGAAUUAUUGGGCGUAAAGGGUAGGUAGGUGGUUUCGUUUGUCUGGGGUGAAAGCCUUGAGCUUAACUCAAGAAGUGCCUCGGAAACGGCGAAACUCGAGUACUGGAGAGGGUCGUGGAAUUCCCGGUGUAGCGGUGAAAUGCGUAGAGAUCGGGAGGAACACCAGAGGCGAAGGCGGCGACCUGGACAGUUACUGACACUCAACUACGAAAGCGUGGGGAGCAAACAGGA
rnacentral:rRNA from 1 species